CAAAAAUACCCUUAUACUUUUCCUAAUGCCAAACAUAUCCUUAAUAGACUCACUUCUCUCCCGGCCCUAGCUCUUCUUCUCUCCCGUUUCAUUCUUCACAAGAAAGAAAAAAACGAUGGAAGCUGUUGUGGCUGUUCUUCACAAAAAGGAAGAGAAGAAAUCAAAGAGUACAUGUAUUUCUCCAAAAGAAGUUUUGCCAACAAAUCAAUUCUUUUUCACCGAGCACUUUUCUUCCAUGACUGAUUCUGAUAGGACAUGGCCAAGUUAAUUGGUUGAAUCUUUAUAUGUGUUAGCUGUCUCCUUCUUAGGAAAAUUGGAGACUAGUGGAAAGGUGAAGAAAAGAGCAGAAGAGAGGAAAGGAGACAGUUUAAAGAAGAAACUGGUGUCCCGCUCCAUCAGGACGGGUCUUCAGUUCCAUGUUGCUUUUUAUGUGCUUGUAGAUAAAUCUUUUUUUUUUGAAUGUUUUUAGGCCUGUGAAAUUCUCUCUUUUACUUUUAUUCUGCCAUGUACAAUAUUCUUUCUACUUAAUAUGAGUGAAUGAAAUCAAUUUUAUUUCAAAUA